AUUGAACGCUGGCGGAAUGCUUUACACAUGCAAGUCGAGCGGCAGCGCGGGGCAACCUGGCGGCGAGCGGCGAACGGGUGAGUAAUACAUCGGAACGUACCAGUUGUGGGGGGUAACGUAGCGAAAGCUACGCUAAUACCGCAUACGAUCUACGGAUGAAAGCGGGGGAUCGCAAGACCUCGCGCGAUUGGAGCGGCCGAUGGCAGAUUAGGUAGUUGGUGAGGUAAAGGCUCACCAAGCCGAGGAUCUGUAGCUGGUCUGAGAGGACGACAAGCCACACUGGGGCUGAGACACGGCCCAGACUCCUACGGGAGGCAGCAGUGGGGAAUUUUGGACAAUGGGCGCAAGCCUGAUCCAGCCAUUCCGCGUGCAGGAUGAAGGCCCUCGGGUUGUAAACUGCUUUUGUACGGAACGAAACGGCUCUCUCUAAUACAGGGGGCUAAUGGCGGUACCGGAAGAAUAAGCACCGGCUAAC
rnacentral:rRNA from 1 species